rnacentral:lncRNA from 1 species
UUUUCUGGUGCAUUAAAAUGAUUUAUGUGACAUUUUCCCUUUUGUAUUUUUAUUAUUUUCAUAAGGUUCAACUUGCCUUGAAGAGGACCACGAGUUUUGUGACCCUCCUCUGAACUAAGGCAAGCCAUCACAGACAUUUUCAAGGAUGACUUGCAAUGACUAUGAUUUUUUGUUUGAACUUGAGUUAAUAUAUGACAUAUAAUC